UCCUGGAUAGCUCAGUUGGUAGAGCACGAGUAUCUUGAUCUCAGGGUCGUGGGUUUGAACCCCAUAUUGGGCA